GCUGCAGUGGCCCCUGUACGUAGUUUCAACUACUCAGGAGGCUGAGGCAGGAGGAUGGCUUGAGCCCAGUUCUGGGCUGUAGUGUGCGAUGCCUAUCAGAUGUCCACACUAAGUUCAGCAUCAGUCUGGUGACCUCCCAAGAGUAGGGGACCACCAGGUUGCCUUAAGGAGGAAUGAACCAGCCCAGUUUAGAAAUGGAGCAGGUCAAAACUCCUGUGCUAAUCAGUACUGGGAUCACACCUGUGAUUAGCCCUUGUCCCUUAAAAACAAACAAAUAAAUAAAUAAUUUUUU
rnacentral:SRP_RNA from 1 species